rnacentral:misc_RNA from 1 species
UGCAGGUAUCAAUCACAAACAGAUUCU